GGCAACAGCUCAAAUUUGAAAUCUGGCCCUCUCAGGGUCCGAGUUGUAAUUUGGAGAGGAUGCUUCGGGUGUGGCCCCGGUCUAAGUUCCUUGGAACAGGACGUCACAGAGGGUGAGAAUCCCGUCUUGGACCGGCGUAGGGCCCGUGUAAAACUCCUUCGAC
rnacentral:rRNA from 1 species